rnacentral:rRNA from 1 species
GAUGAACGCUGGCGGCGUGCCUAACACAUGCGAGUCGAACGGAGUCGUUUUGGAAAUCUCUCCGGAGAUGGAAUUCUCGACUUAUUGGCGGACGGGUGAGUAACUCGUGAGCAAUCUGCCUUUAAGAGGGGGAUAACAGUCGGAAACGGCUGCUAAUACCGCAUAAAGCAUUAAAUUCGCAUGUUUUUGAUGCCAUAGGAGCAAUCCGCUUUUAGAUGAGCUCGGGUCUGAUUAGCUAGUUGGCGGGGUAACGGCCCACCAAUGCGGCGAUCAGUAGCCGGCGUGAGCGGAGGCACGGCCACAAUGGCAAUGAGACGCGGCACAGGCGACUACGGGAGGAAGCAGUGGGGAAUAAUGCGGCAUGGGGGAAACAGUGACGAAGGAACGCCGCGUGAUAAAAGAAGGCAUUCGGGAUGUAAAGAUCUUUAAUCAGGGACGAAAAACAUGACGGUACCUGAAGAAUAAGCCCCGGCUAACUACGUG